rnacentral:piRNA from 1 species
UGACAGGGUCCUUCGUCACUCUCACCAGCAC